UGCUUGGGAAUAUGCCUUAGGGUGGGGGACAACAGUUGGAAACGACUGCUAAUACCGCAUAACGUCUACGGACCAAAGGGGGCUUCGGCUCUCGCCCUUANAUUAGCCCAAGUGGGAUUAGCUAGUUGGUGAGGUAAUGGCUCACCAAGGCGACGAUCCCUAGCUGGUUUGAGAGGAUGAUCAGCCACACUGGAACUGAGACACGGUCCAGACUCCUACGGGAGGCAGCAGUGGGGAAUAUUGCACAAUGGGCGCAAGCCUGAUGCAGCCAUGCCGCGUGUGUGAAGAAGGCCUUAGGGUUGUAAAGCACUUUCAGUAAGGAGGAAAGGUUAGUAGUUAAUACCUGCUAGCUGUGACGUUACUUACAGAAGAAGCACCGGCUAACUCCGUGCCAGCAGCCGCGGUAAUACGGAGGGUGCGAGCGUUAAUCGGAAUUACUGGGCGUAAAGCGUACGCAGGCGGUUUGUUAAGCGAGAUGUGAAAGCCCCGGGCUCAACCUGGGAACUGCAUUUCGAACUGGCAAACUAGAGUAUGAUAGAGGGUGGUAGAAUUUCAGGUGUAGCGGUGAAAUGCGUANAGAUCUGAAGGAAUACCGAUGGCGAAGGCAGCCACCUGGGUCAAUACUGACGCUCAUGUACGAAAGCGUGGGGAGCAAACGGGAUUANAUACCCCGGUAGUCCACGCCGUAAACGAUGUCUACUANGAGCUGGGGUCUUCGGANACUUUUCCAAAGCUAACGCAUUAA
rnacentral:rRNA from 1 species